rnacentral:lncRNA from 1 species
GACCAUGUCUCCCACCCUCAAGUCUUUGUGGGUUAUCUCUCCUCCACUUCUGCAAGAGUCCUCUACCAAGACCACCUGGGUAUGGCUCGCCCCAUUUCAUGGACAUUGAAGAAUCCACCCAGACUUCCGUGAACUUCAUUCAAGGGAAUAUCCUACUUGUUCAAUCACUGAUCCAUGCCUUCAGCUUGGUUUCCAUAACAUCACCGAGCACCUGUCAAGCACUGUGCUAGGCGUUUCUGUCACAUCUCGAUACUCUUUAUCACCAUCUUGUAUCUCCUUCUUUAGCCCUCUGUCCCAGGAGUACUGCCUUUUGUUUCCAAGCCCUCAAGAUACUCUCUCCUUCAGCAAGCUUUUUCAUUUCUAUGAAAGCCGUAAUUCUUCAGAGCUGCUAGAGAAGUCCACAUGCAAACUGCCUUAAACAGUGACAAGAUCAUGGAAAGUAUUCACUAAAUGGUAGCAGUUCUAAUGUUUAAUAGAUGGUUUCCAAUUCAUUCAACACUGGCAUGCUCAGGGGGAAUCAGUUGACUUUUUAAGAACCUGUUGUAUGUGUAUGCAUUAUGUAAAGAA